ensembl:snoRNA
GCUGGUGUAGGUGAUGACUGGACUUUUUUCCCCAUCAGAGCGACCGUGUCGAUCACUCGUCACUCCAGCCAGGUCUCGUCUGAUGCACCAGC